GUGGGUAUAGCGUAGUUGGUUAACGCGUCAGUUUGUGGCACUGAAGACCGUCGGUUCGAAUCCGACUAUCCACCCCA
rnacentral:tRNA from 2 species